rnacentral:rRNA from 1 species
AUGGGAAACCCUACUGAUGCCCCUAAACCUUACCAAUGGAUAUGGAAAUCAUGUUCACUCCCCAAGCAGAAAUUCUUCUUCUGGCUUCUGUUACAAGAUAGAUUAAACACCAGAGACCUACUUAACAGGAAGAAUUUCUACAUUGAGACAAGUAAGUGUGUGUUAUGUGAUGAUGAACCUAACGAACAUCUAAUGCACCUCUUUUUUAGUUGUGAUUUCAGCCAAAAUUUCUGGAUGAACAUUGGGUACCAAUGGGACACUGAUUAUAACCUUAUAGAGAUGCUCCUGGAGGGUAGGAAUCAAAAUACUUAUGGUUGUUUCAAAGAGGGUCUGAUUGCUAGAUGCUAGAGUUUAUGGUAGCACAAAAAUAGCAUAAUCUUUGACUAUAAAAUCAAGAACAUGGCAUAUUGUAUAGCUACUUUCGAGGAACACUUCAGCAUGAUCAUAAAGAAGGCAAAACCUGGGUUGAAGGAGGGCAUGCAAAGUUGUCUAGAUAAUUUGUAG